GAAAUGCGAUAAGUAAUGUGAAUUGCAGAAUUCAGUGAAUCAUCGCAUCUUUGAACGCACAUUGCGCCCGCCAGUAUUCUGGCGGGCAUGCCUGUUCGAGCGUCAUUACAACCCUCAGGCCCCCGGGCCUGGCGUUGGGGAUCGGCGGAAGCCCCCUGCGGGCACAACGCCGUCCCCCAAAUACAGUGGCGGUCCCGCCGCAGCUUCCAUUGCGUAGUAGCUAACACCUCGCAACUGGAGAGCGGCGCGGCCACGCCGUAAAACACCCAACUUCUGAAUGUUGACCUCGAAUCAGGUAGGAAUACCCGCUGAACUUAAGC
rnacentral:misc_RNA from 1 species